ACACUUCUGGCAGGGAAUAUACCAGGAUCAGGAAGGUGGCUUUCCUAGGGCAAGGCUCUCCCAUUGCACAUGGGAUGUGGUGAUCCCUGUGGUUUUAUUGCAGGAUAUUUGAUCAC
rnacentral:snRNA from 14 species